CAACCUGCAAAACUGCAAUCAAUUAUAUACUGUAUAUGGCUCAUUUUGCUUUGGUUUUCAAACAGUAUCCCAUACAUCCUAAAUUAUCAGAACUGAUCUCCAGGAGUAAAACAAAGGAACAUUGUUAAGAUUAAGUGUUGGGUGCUGGGAUUACAAGACAUGAACAGCAGUCCUAGGAUCUUUCAGGAUUCUGGAGCCUACAAACACUACAGUCCGUACGGUUAUGCACUGGAACCCCGAGCCUGAGGAGGGGGUGGGACUCACCUAUCCUGGGGACGA